CUCCGCGUAGCUCAGUUGGAAGAGCAUUGGGCUAGUAUUCCAAAGGUCGUAGGUUCGAAUCCCACCGUGGCCG